rnacentral:tRNA from 1 species
GCCCUGGUGGCUCAGUGAUUAAGUGCUCGGCUACUAACUGACAGGUUGGUGGUUCGAACCCACCCAGUGGCU